CGGCCGCCACCCCUCCUGCUCAGCUGCCGUCGCCAUGGCCAAUGACAGCUGCGGGCCGGGUGAGCCGAGCUCGAGCGAGCGAGACCGGCAGUACUGCGAGCUGUGCGGGAAGAUGGAGAACCUGCUGCGCUGCAGCCGCAGCUCCUUCUGCUGCAAAGAGCGCCAGCGUCAGGACUGGAAGAAGCACAAGAUCGUGUGCCAGGGCAGCGAGGGCGCCCUCGGCCACGGAGGGGGCCCUCACCGGGACUCCGGCCCCGCGCCGCCGGCUGCAGCGCCGCCGUCCGCAGCGUCGCCGUCCAGGGACGGGGCCCAGGAGCCCAGGAAGGCAGCGAGGCGCCGGGACAGCGCCUCCGGGGACUCAGCCAAGGCAAAGGCCAAGCCCGCGGCCGACCCCGCGGCGGCCGCGUCCCUGUCUCUCGCGUCCCCGGGCGGGACAAAAGCCAUGGUUGCUUGUUAUCCGGUCAAUGGAACGGGCUAUGUACGUCAUGUUGAUAAUCCAAAUGGAGACGGAAGAUGUGUGAAAUGUAUUACAUUACGUUAAAGACUGGGAUGCCAAGGUAAGGGGAGGUAUACUUCGAAUUUUUCUAGAAGCUUAAAGCCUGGUUUGCUGACAUUGAACCCAAAUUUGAUAGACUGCUGUUUUUCUGGACUGACCAUCGCAACCCUCAUGAAGUACAACCAGCAUAUGCUACAAGAUACGCAAUAACUGGUAUUUGAUGCAGAUUAGAGAGCACGAGCUAAAGUAAAAUAUCUAACAGGUGAAAAGGUGUGAGGGUUGAACCCAAUAAACCUUCAGAUUCAGUCAGUAAAAACGUCUUAUACAGCCUUUGAUCCAGCAAUACCCCACUUCACCUACAAUAAUUGUUGACGCUAUUUGUUAAUUUGUGAAUACGAAUAAAUGGGAUAAAGAAAAAUAGACAACCAGUUCGCAUUUUAGAGGCAUGGAGGGAUCCAGAACCUGGACAGAAGAACCACCUAGAAAUAACUCAGC